UUCUCCUAUUUGCACGGAUUUACUUCCCGGAUAUUCUCAUCUUCUCUCAACGGUGCCGCCCCGUAACUCGCAACAGCCACCAUCGCACAUAGCCUCGGGAGACACUUCCGUGUGCACCGCAAAGGACCGAGCAACACCGUCGCGCAGCAUAACUACCUUCCUCUCCCCCGGGUGAACCAAAUUGCUUCUCCCCUAGUCUCAUCCUCUCUUACCGUUCUGCGCUGCCACCCACAGCAAACCCCGUCGCCCAUAGCUUCGGGAGAUUCUGCCGUGUGCACCGCGAAUGCCCGAGCAUCACCGUCGUGCAGGUUGCGUUCUUCACGCAGUUCUAAACCUGCCAGUCGGAAAAGCCCCUCCCCCCAGCCGGCGACGUUUUACUCUCCGACAUCUUCUUCGUUCCCCUCUUGGACUACAAAAAGUCAGUAUAAAAUUAUUAUUCUACUCUAUAUAGUAUGUUUGUGUGACACCUAGGGUUUAGAUGUUCCUUGAUUUUGGAAAGCGAGCACCAGGGAAACUGAGCUCCGCACUGCAAGAAGGGGUUUUGCAUCAGGAAUUUUUGGCUCUUCUGCUAAGCCUAGAUCAAUCAAGGCUCAAGCUUCUUCUGAUGAACAUGUUGAAG